UACAGAGGCCUCGAGCGUUAGGCGGAAUUACUGGGCGUAAAGCGUGCGUAGGCGGUUUGUUAAGUCUGCUGUGAAAUCCCCGGGCUCAACCUGGGAAUGGCAGUGGAUACUGGCAGCUAGAGUGUGUCAGAGGAUGGUGGAAUUCCCGGUGUAGCGGUGAAAUGCGUAGAGAUCGGGAGGAACAUCAGUGGCGAAGGCGGCCAUCUGGGACAACACUGACGCUCCGG
rnacentral:rRNA from 1 species